ACUCAACAGUUGAAAGCUGACAAAAGAUGUUUGUCUAAUUGCCUAAGAAUACCAAUUUUCUUCUUACACAUCUAAAAAGAAGAGUCAAGGCUCUGUGCUUUCUUCCUGACAAAUGACUGAGACAGUUUGAGCAGAACCAAGUUUGGCAUUUGACUCUCUGGAUUUCCUCCAUCUGUUUUUAUCUUCUGUUCAGUCCCUUGGAGCUUAGGACUAUCUGGUCCUGAGGAGAUUGUGAGCUGGACCCCUUCCCUCAUGGAUCCCAGGCACCUGCUUUGCUCUGCCCUGCCCUUAGUCUGUGCACACUGAUGGUGUUCAUGAUUCCAUUUGUUGUCCCUGGAGGAUGAUCUCCCUUUGGAGACAUGAGUGGAAACCAUUAGUCCCAGGGGGUUUGCUGGCAGUAAGGUAACUGAAGUCAGUGAGUGGGUGAGAGGGAAAAGAGACAUAAUGCUUGAAAAUGUGAUAAAGUGAUAGGAUGUUAGAUCAAGUUGGAGCACUAGAGCCAGGGAAGGCGGAACCUGGAACCAGUUACAGCCACACGUGGGUUUGGCUGGAGCUUGGUCUCUGUAGGUUAACCUGUAUACAGGUAACCGUGUGCUCUGGUCUGCUCGGCAUGCUGCUGGCUUAUGCCUGUUGCUCAGAGCAAUUACCCAAAAUACCCCCUUUUACUCUCAAAAGGGUCCUGAUUUGGUGAUCAAUUAUAUUGUCAGCCUACAUACUCACCUCACUAGAUAUCCCAUCAGCAUUCCAAGAGGGUGCUGUGCUUGUCAGUACAGUAAAACAUGAACAUAAAGCUUCUAAAAUACCAAGAAACUAGUCUAGAACAGGGUAAGAGUUUUCCUUGAGAGGCAGUAGGCUUCCUAGUUCCGACCAUGUGUUCAAUUUUAAUCAUAUCCAGAUUUCUUUUGAUUCUUUUCUUUCUUCUUUCCUUCUGGCUAAAAAGGGUGGUUUUAAAAAUCAGUAUGAUACUGUGAACUGCUUUUUUACUAAAACGCAUAUUUAAUUAUUUCUCUGUUAAUGGAGAGUCAGAAUGCCUCUAGUCUAUGGCCAUUACAAACAGCACAUGGACAUGGAUUCUUCUGGAUUACCAUAUUUGUUUCUUCAUCUAACCAGCCUUCUAUACUUGAGUUUGUUCUAUCACUUAUGGCCUGAUACAGAACUACUAAUGGCUCUGAUGAUGCUCCACUCCAACCAUCUAUCCAGGUGUGAAGAACUGCAAGGGCUGUGAUUUUUUUGCUCUCGUGGCAAGCUUUUGAGCGCUGGUGAAAGACACAAGCCUCCUGGGUAAGAGACAAAGGACUUUAUUACUCACGACUCAGCCCACAGCAUGAGCAUCAGCAUAUUUGUGGAGUUCUGGCCCUGAAGUGCCAUGGGGAUGCCAGCACACACAGGGACUGUCUUGUAGGAGAAGAUCCCUGAGCUUCGAGCUUCGUGAACCUAAAUCUUUUAUAAUAGGCAGAUCUAAAACAAAGUAAGCUCCAAGCUGAUCAAGCCCCCAGCAACACAGGAUGCCCCCGAAGAGCACGGGCAUUUAAUUGGACCUGCGCUCGCCUCGCCUGGCCACUAGAGGGCGGCCUCGCCCACCGAAUGUGUCGGGAGGCCCAGCCCUCCCCGCCCCCGG